GAGAGCCGUGUGAUGGGUUACCAUCUCGCACGGUUCGGGGAGGACACGGGACUGCCGUUUUAC
rfam:Trachymyrmex cornetzi contig5713, whole genome shotgun sequence.